rnacentral:rRNA from 1 species
UAAGGAAUAUUGGUCAAUGGGCGCAAGCCUGAACCAGCCAUGCCGUGUGCAGGAAGACGGCCCCACGGGUUGUAAACUGCUUUUGCAGGGGAAUAAACCCCGGUACGUGUACCGGGUUGAAUGUACUCUGAGAAUAAGGAUCGGCUAACUCCGUGCCAGCAGCCGCGGUAAUACGGAGGAUCCAAGCGUUAUCCGGAUUUAUUGGGUUUAAAGGGUGCGUAGGCGGCCUAUUAAGUCAGGGGUGAAAGACGGUAGCUUAACUAUCGCAGUGCCUUUGAUACUGAUGGGCUUGAAUACACUAGAGGUAGGCGGAAUGUGACAAGUAGCGGUGAAAUGCAUAGAUAUGUCACAGAACACCAAUUGCGAAGGCAGCUUACUAUGGUGUGAUUGACGCUGAGGCACGAAAGCGUGGGGAUCAAA